rnacentral:rRNA from 1 species
AUGGCGGAUGAUGAUGGACCUUGGUAUGACGGAUUAAUCGAUGAGUGGGAUAAGGAGCAUCGUGCUCGUGCCAUUGAGAAGGGAGAUCUUGUAGUUGCUAUGCGCAUGAGGGGUCAUUUUGCUGAUGACUUUACUUACGACCCGCGGUACGAGCCUUACGUUCGGAGAUUGGGUCUUCUCCCAUUUGUGUUGCAGUUUAAGCGACGCGCUCCGCCGGUGAACCACGCGGCGCUGACCGCACUUGUGGAUCGUUGGAGGCCGGAGACUCAUUCGUUCCACCUUCCAUGUGGGGAGAUGACGAUGACCCUACAGGACAUGGCUAUGAUAAGCGGCCUUCCUAUCAACGGAUAA